GCGGGCGUGGCUUAGUGGUAUAGCGUCUCCUUGCCAAGGAGAAGGUCACGGGUUCGAAUCCCGUCGCCCGCU
rnacentral:tRNA from 1 species